rnacentral:rRNA from 1 species
UACCCGCAGCACAAGUGGUGGUCAUUAUUAUUGGGCCUAAAGCGUCCGUAGCUGGCCUGUUAGAUGCCUGGGUAAAUCGAUGCGCUCAACGUAUCGAACUCCGGGUAGACCGGCAGGCUUGGGACCGGGAGAGAUGUGAGCUACUCGAGGGGUAGGGGUAAAAUCCUGUAAUCCUUCGGGGAGGACCAGUGGCGAAGGCGUCACAUUAGAACGGCUCCGACAGUGUGGGACGAAGCCCUGGGGCGCAAACCGG